rnacentral:rRNA from 1 species
AGGAGGCAGCAGUGGGGAAUAUUGGACAAUGGGCGCAAGCCUGAUCCAGCCAUGCCGCGUGAGUGAAGAAGGCCCUAGGGUUGUAAAGCUCUUUCGACGGGGAAGAUAAUGACGGUACCCGUAGAAGAAGCCCCGGCUAACUUCGUGCCAGCAGCCGCGGUAAUACGAAGGGGGCUAGCGUUGUUCGGAAUCACUGGGCGUAAAGCGCACGCAGGCGGACUGAUAAGUCAGGGGUGAAAUCCCGGGGCUCAACCUCGGAACUGCCUUUGAUACUGCCAGUCUCGAGUCCGGGAGAGGUGAGUGGAAUUCCUAGUGUAGAGGUGAAAUUCGUAGAUAUUAGGAAGAACACCAGUGGCGAAGGCGACUCACUGGCCCGGUACUGACGCUCAGGUGCGAAAGCGUGGGGAGCAAACAGGCUUAGAUACCCGUGUAGUCCU